rnacentral:rRNA from 1 species
AGUGAACGCUGGCGGUAGGCCUAACACAUGCAAGUCGAACGGCAGCACAGUAAGAGCUUGCUCUUACGGGUGGCGAGUGGCGGACGGGUGAGGAAUACAUCGGAAUCUACUUUUUCGUGGGGGAUGACGUAGGGAAACUUACGCUAAUACCGCAUACGACCUACGGGUGAAAGCAGGGGAUCUUCGGACCUUGCGCGAUUGAAUGAGCCGAUGUCGGAUUAGCUAGUUGGCGGGGUAAAGGCCCACCAAGGCGACGAUCCGUAGCUGGUCUGAGAGGAUGAUCAGCCACACUGGGACUGAGACACGGUCCAGACUCCUACGGGAGGCAGCAGUGGGGAAUAUUGGACAAUGGGCGCAGGCCUGAUCCAGCCAUACCGCGUGGGUGAAGAAGGCCUUCGGGUUGUAAAGCCCUUUUGUUGGGAAAGAAAAGCAGCAGGUUAAUACCCCGCUGUUCUGACGGUACCCAAAGAAUAAGCACCGGCUAACUUCGUG